AUGAACGCUAGCUACAGGCUUAACACAUGCAAGUCGCGGGGCAGCAUGGGGGUUGCUUGCAAUCCCCGAUGGCGACCGGCGCACGGGGGAGUAACGCGUAUCCAACCUGCCCUUCACCACGGGAUAACCCGGCGAAAGUCGGACUAAUACCGGAUGUUGUCCAUUGACGGCAUCCGAUGUGGACGAAAGGUUGGGCGGUGAAGGAGGGGGAUGCGGCCGAUUAGCUGGACGGCGGGGUGCCGGCCCACCGUGGCGACGAUCGGGAGGGGCUCUGAGAGGAAGGCACCCCACACUGGAGCUGCGACACGGUCCAGACUCCUACGGGAGGCAGCAGUGUGGUAUAUUGGUCACUGGGCGUAAGCCUGAACCAGCCAAGUAGCGUGCAGGAUGCCGGCCCUAUGGGUUGUAACCUGCUUUUAUGCGGGGAUAACGUGGCCCACGUGUGGGUUUUUGCCGGUACCGCAUGAAUAAGGACCGGCUAAUUCCGUG
rnacentral:rRNA from 1 species